rnacentral:rRNA from 1 species
UACGGAGGGGGCUAGCGUUGUUCGGAAUUACUGGGCGUAAAGCGCGCGUAGGCGGACCUGCAAGUCGGGGGUGAAAGCCCGAGGCUCAACCUCGGAACUGCCUUCGAUACUGCGGGUCUCGAGUCCGGGAGAGGUGAGUGGAAUUCCUAGUGUAGAGGUGAAAUUCGUAGAUAUUAGGAAGAACACCAGUGGCGAAGGCGGCUCACUGGCCCGGUACUGACGCUGAUGCGCGAAAGCUAGGGGAGCAAACGGG